GUGCGGGCUUGGUCGAAGACCGAUUUGCGUCUUUUGCAAUGCGUUAAUUGGUUCAAAUCGAAGCCCAAAGCAAUUUUUGAUACGACGGUCUCUGACUUGGCAACCCAAAGUCAUUUCAGUAACUUUUACGUGCAAUUACAAUU